UCCGCUUUCCAUGCUGGCAUGGGUUGGACGGUUCAACUGGGGUCUGGGAAUCCAGAAGGCUGCACCAGGCCCAGUCUGAUCUGGCAAUGUUUCUAUGGCUGGAUGCCCUGAGGCAAAUAAGCUUUGCAUAACCCUUGAAAUACCCUUGGAUUUCAGAGAAAUACAUGAGUAGGAGGCUUUAAUUUCAUAUCACCAGCAGCAUUUCCACCCAGAAGACGAAGCAGAUGAGUUUUGUAAGCUUUAAAUCCUGAUGUUGAUUUUUCUCCUCUUGAAAUAUGAGUGUAGUUUCAUCAACAUUAUAUACUUGUUCCCUUUAGCAAUAUUUUUUUUAUUUUUCAGCUGUUUAGGGUAAUUAGUGGUUGCUUUUAUAUCAGCACUGGAAACUUCAACAAUCAUUUUUAUGUUUUGCAAAUUCAAGCUCUUCUUAAGUCUUUCAAACCAACCUUUACUACCCAGAAAAAGUUUUUAUAUAAUUACCACCAUGCUUUUUGGCACAACACAUUGAGUCUGAUCUUCAGUCAGUAUAUCCAAGAGCCGUCCUAUUUUGAGCAUCACAUUAGAGCUAUGAA